rfam:Picea glauca, whole genome shotgun sequence.
ACAUGCCUACAAAAUAACAUUAAUGCACUGGAUCCCAUUAGAACUUUGCAGUUAAGCGCACUCAGGAAAGAGUAGUACUGGGAUGGGUGACCACCUGGGAAGUCCUAGUGUUUUACAUGCC